GACAGAGGUGCCGAGCGUUAGGCGGAAUCACUGGGCUUAAAGCGUGUGUAGGCGGGCGAUCAAGUACCUUGUGAAAUCCCACGGCUCAACCGUGGAACCGCUGGGUAUACUGGUUGUCUUGAGCCGGCUAGGGGCGAGCGGAACAGACGGUGGAGCGGUGAAAUGCGUAGAUAUCGUCUGGAACGCCGAAGGUGAAAACAGCCCGCUGGGGCCGCGCUGACGCUGAGACACGAAAGCCAGGGGGGCGAACGGG
rnacentral:rRNA from 1 species